rnacentral:rRNA from 1 species
CACGUAGGGCGCAAGCGUUGUCCGGAAUUAUUGGGCGUAAAGAGCUCGUAGGCGGUCUGUUGCGUCCGCUGUGAAAACUCGGGGCUUAACCCCGAGCCUGCAGUGGAUACGGGCAGACUAGAGGUAGGUAGGGGAGAAUGGAAUUCCCGGUGUAGCGGUGAAAUGCGCAGAUAUCGGGAGGAACACCCGUGGCGAAGGCGGCUCUCUGGGACGGUACUGACGCUGAGACGCGAAAGCGUGGGGAGCGAACAGG